AUUGAACGCUGGCGGCAGGCCUAACACAUGCAAGUCGAACGGUAACAGGAAACAGCUUGCUGUUUCGCUGACGAGUGGCGGACGGGUGAGUAAUGUCUGGGAAACUGCCUGAUGGAGGGGGAUAACUACUGGAAACGGUAGCUAAUACCGCAUAACGUCGCAAGACCAAAGAGGGGAACCUCGGGCCUCUUGCCAUCGGAUGUGCCCAGAUGGGAUUAGCUUGUUGGUGGGGUAACGGCUCACCAAGGCGACGAUCCCUAGCUGGUCUGAGAGGAUGACCAGCCACACUGGAACUGAGACACGGUCCAGACUCCUACGGGAGGCAGCAGUGGGGAAUAUUGCACAAUGGGCGCAAGCCUGAUGCAGCCAUGCCGCGUGUAUGAAGAAGGCCUUCGGGUUGUAAAGUACUUUCAGCGGGGAGGAAGGGAGUAAAGUUAAUACCUUUGCUCAUUGACGUUACCCGCAGAAGAAGCACCGGCUAACUCCGUG
rnacentral:rRNA from 1 species